rnacentral:rRNA from 1 species
GACGAACGCUGGCGGCGUGCUUAACACAUGCAAGUCGAACGGAAAGGCCCUGCUUGCCGGGUACUCGAGUGGCGAACGGGUGAGUAACACGUGGGUGAUCUGCCCUGCACUUCGGGAUAAGCCUGGGAAACUGGGUCUAAUACCGGAUAGGAGCCAUUUUUAGCGUGAUGGUUGGAAAGUUUUUUCGGUGUAGGAUGAGCUCGCGGCCUAUCAGCUUGCUGGUGGGGUAAUGGCCUACCAAGGCGGCGACGGGUAGCCGGCCUGUGGAGGUGGACGGCGACCUUGGGACCUACGGACGGCCCAGACGCCGACGGGAGGCAGCAGUGGGGAAUCUUGCCCAAUGGGCGCCAGCCUGAUGCAGCGAGGCUGCGUGGGGGAUGACGGCCUUCUGGUUGUAAACUCCUUUCGCUAGGGACUAAGCUUUUUGUGACGGUACCUAGACAGGAAGCCCCGGCUAACUACGUG